rnacentral:rRNA from 1 species
GAUGAAUGCUGGCGGCGUGCCUAACACAUGCAAGUCGAGCGGCAGCGCGAGUAGUUUACUACUUGGCGGCGAGCGGCGGACGGCUGAGUAACACGUGGGAACAUACCCCAAAGUGAGGGAUAACCGCCCGAAAGGGUGGCUAAUACCGCAUAUGAUCUUCGGAUUAAAGGAUUUAUCCGCUUUGGGAAUGGCCUGCGUACGAUUAGAUAGUUGGUGGGGUAAUGGCCUACCAAGUCGACGAUCGUUAGCUGGUCUGAGAGGAUGACCAGCCAGACUGGAACUGAGACACGGUCCAGACUCCUACGGGAGGCAGCAGUGAGGAAUCUUCCACAAUGGGCGAAAGCCUGAUGGAGCAACGCCGCGUGAAGGAUGAAGGCCCUCGGGUUGUAAACUUCUUUUAUAAGUGAAGAAUAUGACGGUAACUUAUGAAUAAGCACCGGCUAACUACGUGCCAGCAGCCGCGGUCAUACGUAGGGUGCAAGCAUUAUCCGGAGUGACUGGGCGUAAAGAGUUGCGUAGGUGGUUUGUUAAGUGAAUAGUGAAAGCCGGCGGCUCAACCGUACGGACUAUUAUUCAAACUGGCAGACUCGAGAAUGGUAGAGGUAACUGGAAUUUCUUGUGUAGGAGUGAAAUCCGUAGAUAUAAGAAGGAACACCAAUGGCGUAGGCAGGUUACUGGACCAUUUCUGACACUGAGGCACGAAAGCGUGGGGAGCGAACGGGAUUAGAUACCCCGGUAGUCCACGCCGUAAACUAUGGAUGCUAGCUGUUAGAGGUAUCGACCCCUCUAGUAGCGAAGCUAACGCGUUAAGCAUCCCGCCUGUGGAGUACGGUCGCAAGACUAAAACAUAAAGGAAUUGACGGGGACCCGCACAAGCGGUGGAUUGUGUUCUUUAAUUCGAUGAUAAACGGAGAACCUUACCAGGGUUUGACAUCCCAAGAAUUUUGCCGAAAGGCGAGAGUGCUUUAUUGAACUUGGUGACAGGUGAUGCAUGGCCGUCGUCAGCUCGUGUCGUGAGAUGUUUGGUUAAGUCCAUCAACGAGCGCAACCCUUGUCAGUAGUUGGAUUUUUCUACUGAGACUGCCCCGGCAACGGGGAGGAAGGAGGGGAUGAUGUCAGGUCAGUAUUUCCCUUACAUCCUGGGCUAGAAACGCAAUACAAUGGCCAGUACAAUGUGCAGCGAAGCCGCGAGGUCAAGCAAAUCCCAUAAAGUUGUUCUCAGUUCGGAUUGUAGUCUGCAACUCGACUAUAUGAAGCUGGAAUCGCUAGUAAUCGUAGAUCAGCAUGCUACGGUGAAUACGUUCCCGGGUCU